CCCCGUAACUUCGGGAGAAGGGGGGCCUGAAGCGUGAUCCGACUUGCUCGGUUAGCGUGAAGGGCCGCAGAGACCAGGGAGAAGCGACUGUUUACUAAAAACACAGGUCCGUGCGAAGUCGCAAGACGAUGUAUACGGACUGACGCCUGCCCGGUGCUGGAAGGUUAAGAGGACGGGUCAGCCGCAAGGCGAAGCUCAGAAUUUAAGCCCCAGUAAACGGCGGUGGUAACUAUAACCAUCCUAAGGUAGCGAAAUUCCUUGUCGGGUAAGUUCCGACCUGCACGAAUGGCGUAACGACUUCUCCGCUGUCUCAACCGCGAACUCGGCGAAAUUGCACUACGAGUAAAGAUGCUCGUUACGCGCAGCAGGACGGAAAGACCCCGGGACCUUUACUAUAGCUUGGUAUUGGUGUUCGGUGCGGCUUGUGUAGGAUAGGUGGGAGACUGUGAAGCCGGCACGCCAGUGUCGGUGGAGUCAACGUUGAAAUACCACUCUGGUCGCUCUGGAUAUCUAACCUCGGUCCGUGAUCCGGACUAGGGACAGUGCCUGGUGGGUAGUUUAACUGGGGCGGUUGCCUCCUAAAAUGUAACGGAGGCGCUCAAAGGUUCCCUCAGCCUGGUUGGCAAUCAGGUGGCGAGUGCAAGUGCACAAGGGAGCUUGACUGUGAGACUGACAGGUCGAGCAGGGACGAAAGUCGGAACUAGUGAUCCGGCGGUGGCUUGUGGAAGCGCCGUCGCUCAACGGAUAAAAGGUACCCCGGGGAUAACAGGCUGAUCUUGCCCAAGAGUCCAUAUCGACGGCAUGGUUUGGCACCUCGAUGUCGGCUCGUCGCAUCCUGGGGCUGGAGUAGGUCCCAAGGGUUGGGCUGUUCGCCCAUUAAAGCGGUACGCGAGCUGGGUUUAGAACGUCGUGAGACAGUUCGGUCCCUAUCCGCUGCGCGCGCAGGAAACUUGAGAAGGGCUGUCCCUAGUACGAGAGGACCGGGACGGACGAACCUCUGGUGUGCCAGUUGUUCCGCCAGGAGCACGGCUGGUUGGCUACGUUCGGAAGGGAUAACCGCUGAAAGCAUCUAAGCGGGAAGCCUGCUUCAAGAUGAGGUUUCCAUGGGGACUUGAUCCCCGAGAGGCUCCCAGCUAGACCACUGGGUAGAUAGGCCGGAUGUGGAAGAGGGGACUAACGACCCUCGCAGCUGACCGGUACUAAUAAGCCGACAACUUCAUCAC
rnacentral:rRNA from 1 species